UACGUAGGGCGCAAGCGUUGUCCGGAAUUAUUGGGCGUAAAGAGCUCGUAGGUGGCUUGUUGCGUCUGCCGUGAAAGCCCGUGGCUUAACUACGGGUCUGCGGUGGAUACGGGCAGGCUAGAGGCUGGUAGGGGCAAGCGGAAUUCCUGGUGUAGCGGUGAAAUGCGCAGAUAUCAGGAGGAACACCGAUGGCGAAGGCAGCUCGCUGGGACGGUACUGACGCUGAGGCGCGAAAGCGUGGGGAGCAAACAGG
rnacentral:rRNA from 1 species